rnacentral:rRNA from 1 species
CCUACGGGGGGCUGCAGUGGGGAAUAUUGGACAAUGGGGGCAACCCUGAUCCAGCCAUGCCGCGUGUGUGAAGAAGGCCCUCGGGUUGUAAAGCACUUUCAGUGAGGAAGAACGCCUGGUGGUUAAUACCCAUCAGGAAAGACAUCACUCACAGAAGAAGCACCGGCUAACUCCGUGCCAGCAGCCGCGGUAAUACGGAGGGUGCGAGCGUUAAUCGGAAUUACUGGGCGUAAAGCGCGCGUAGGCGGCUUGAUAAGCCGGUUGUGAAAGCCCCGGGCUCAACCUGGGAACGGCAUCCGGAACUGUCAAGCUAGAGUGCAGGAGAGGAAGGUGAAUUCCCGGUGUAGCGGUGAAAUGCGUAGAGAUCGGGAGGAAUACCAGUGGCGAAGGCGGCCUUCUGGACUGACACUGACACUGAGGUGCGAAAGCGUGGGUAGCAAACAGGAUUAGAUACCCCAGUAGUC